UCUCCUGUAGCUCAGUGGUAGAGCGUCCGACCGGUGCGCGGAAGGUCAUAGGUUCGACUCCUGUUGGAAAAA